rnacentral:snRNA from 1 species
AGCUGUUACAGCUCCUUUAGCAGUUUUCUAGAAGGUUUUCUGACCUUGGUAGAAAAACCCACA